rnacentral:rRNA from 1 species
AUUGAACGCUGGCGGCAUGCUUUACACAUGCAAGUCGAACGGUAACAGGUUAAGCUGACGAGUGGCGAACGGGUGAGUAAUGCAUCGGAACGUGCCCGGUCGUGGGGGAUAACGCAGCGAAAGCUGCGCUAAUACCGCAUACGAUCUGAGGAUGAAAGCGGGGGACCGUAAGGCCUCGCGCGAUCGGAGCGGCCGAUGUCAGAUUAGGUAGUUGGUGGGGUAAAGGCUCACCAAGCCGACGAUCUGUAGCUGGUCUGAGAGGACGACCAGCCACACUGGGACUGAGACACGGCCCAGACUCCUACGGGAGGCAGCAGUGGGGAAUUUGGACAAUGGGCGCAAGCCUGAUCCAGCAAUGCCGCGUGCAGGAAGAAGGCCUUCGGGUUGUAAACUAGCUUUGUACGGUAGCGAAAAGGUCUUCCUAAUACGGGAGGCUGAUGACGGUACCGUAAGAAUAAGCACCGGCUAACUACGUGCCAGCAGCCGCGGUAAUAC